rnacentral:misc_RNA from 1 species
GAUGAAGAACGUAGCGAAAUGCGAUAAGUAAUGCGAAUUGCAGAAUUCCGUGAGUCAUCGAAUCUUUGAACGCACAUUGCGCCCUCUGGUAUUCCGGAGGGCAUGCCUGUCUGAGCGUCAUUGUCAACCCUCAAGCUCAGCUUGCUGUUGGGUCCCCGUCGUUGCUUUAACGGCGGACCCGAAAGGUAAUGGCAGAGUCCGUGAGACCCUAGACGCAGCGAGCUUCUAGCACGCGUCUGGACGUUUUUCGGGCUCGGUCUUAACUAGAUGAUAACUUCCGAUUGACCUCAGUUCAGGUAGGGAUACCCGCUGAACUUAAGCAUAUCAAUAAGCGGAGGA